GGGAGGGGCGGGGGCGCGCUGUGGUGCGGGGCUCGGCGCGGUGCCCGCCGCCGUGUGGGGAGCGGGGGCCGCCGCCGCCCUUCGCCUGAGGGGAGCCGAGCGGAGCGGAGGGGGCCGGCGGCGGUUGGGGCAGAGUGAAAUUCCAUUUAAGAGACGUCUGACUAUUAAGAUAACCCGUUCCAGUGACAGCAUGUAAAGUGAAGUUCCUCUACAGAACUUGGCGGCCAGCUGGAGUAGUUAAAGAAGACCUGAAGCAAUGCUGGGAGCGCUCAAUGCUCCAUAUGAUUAUGGCUGCGCACCUUUUGCCCCCAACUGCCAUCUGCAUUUUCACUGGACCCAACCCUGUAAGCAAAUCAUCAAGCAGUGGAGGCUUGAGGUCUGGCUGCUCAAAGAAACUGCUAUCAUUUUACGAGGAAACAUGGCCUCGCUUGCACCAAAAUCUUUCCUUCCUGCAUUCCUCCUACCACAGCUGGCUGACAUCCUGCACAGAGCAGGCUGCUGAGCAGAGACAAAAUACACAACAUCUGCUGCCUUGCAUCUCUCAGCUUUUUCCACAGCAGCAAGCAUUAUGCAGUUCCCAGAGUGAAUUACUUGAUGGGAAGAAAAGAGGCAUCCUUUGGGGAUUCUGUGAUAAAACUGCUUCAAACAAAUGAACAAAAACUAUGACAGAAAUAAGAAUAAAGAAAUCAAUGCUUCAGAUCCA
rnacentral:lncRNA from 1 species